rnacentral:rRNA from 1 species
AACGAAACACCUUAUUUGAUUUUCUUCGGAACUGAAGAUUUGGUGAUUGAGUGGCGGACGGGUGAGUAACGCGUGGGUAACCUGCCCUGUACAGGGGGAUAACAGUCAGAAAUGACUGCUAAUACCGCAUAAGACCACAGCACCGCAUGGUGCAGGGGUAAAAACUCCGGUGGUACAGGAUGGACCCGCGUCUGAUUAGCUGGUUGGUGAGGUAACGGCUCACCAAGGCGACGAUCAGUAGCCGGCUUGAGAGAGUGAACGGCCACAUUGGGACUGAGACACGGCCCAAACUCCUACGGGAGGCAGCAGUGGGGAAUAUUGCACAAUGGGGGAAACCCUGAUGCAGCGACGCCGCGUGAGUGAAGAAGUAUCUCGGUAUGUAAAGCUCUAUCAGCAGGGAAGAAAAUGACGGUACCUGACUAAGAAGCCCCGGCUAACUACGUGCCAGCAGCCGCGGUAAUACGUAGGGGGCAAGCGUUAUCCGGAAUUACUGGGUGUAAAGGGUGCGUAGGUGGUAUGGCAAGUCAGAAGUGAAAACCCAGGGCUUAACUCUGGGACUGCUUUUGAAACUGUCAGACUGGAGUGCAGGAGAGGUAAGCGGAAUUCCUAGUGUAGCGGUGAAAUGCGUAGAUAUUAGGAGGAACAUCAGUGGCGAAGGCGGCUUACUGGACUGAAACUGACACUGAGGCACGAAAGCGUGGGGAGCAAACAGG